rnacentral:rRNA from 1 species
CCUACGGGCGGCAGCAGUGAGGAAUAUUGGUCAAUGGGCUUACGCCUGAACCAGCCAAGUCGCGUGAGGGAAGACUGCCCUAUGGGUUGUAAACCUCUUUUGCCAGGGAGCAACGCCGGCUACGUGUAGCCGGACUGAGAGUACCUGAAGAAAAAGCAUCGGCUAACUCCGUGACAGCAGCCGCGGUAAUACGGAGGAUGCGAGCGUUAUCCGGAUUUAUUGGGUUUAAAGGGUGCGUAGGCGGAAUGCCAAGUCAGCGGUAAAAUCGCGGGGCUCAACCUCGCUCCGCCGUUGAAACUGGCGUUCUUGAGUAGGCGAGAAGUAUGCGGAAUGCGUGGUGUAGCGGUGAAAUGCAUAGAUAUCACGCAGAACUCCGAUUGCGAAGGCAGCAUACCGGCGCCCAACUGACGCUGAAGCACGAAAGCGUGGGUAUCGAACAGGAUUAGAUACCCGAGUAGUC